ACUCGAGUGGCGAACGGGUGAGUAACACGUGGGUGAUCUGCCUUGCACUUCGGGAUAAGCUUGGGAAACUGGGUCUAAUACCGGAUAGGAACCGUCUUUAGUGUGGUGGUUGGAAAGUUUUUCGGUGCAAGAUGAGCUCGCGGCCUAUCAGCUUGUUGGUGGGGUAAUGGCCUACCAAGGCGUCGACGGGUAGCCGGCCUGAGAGGGUGUACGGCCACAUUGGGACUGAGAUACGGCCCAG
rnacentral:rRNA from 1 species